UGGCAUGAGGCACUCCAUAUACAUCCAGACUCACAUCCAAGUACACAUAUAUGACUCACAUACAUCAUACGUAUACAUCAUAUUAGCAACCCAAAAGUGGCUCACAUCAUGCCCAGGUUCACAUACAUUACUAAGUCCACACAAACAUCGUAUUAGCAACCCAAAAGUGGCUCACAUCAUACCCAGGUUCACAUACUACUCCAAGUCCACACAUACAUCAUAUUAGCAACCCAAAAGUGGCUCACAUCAUACCCAGGUUCACAUACAUUACUCCAAGUCCACACAACAUGACAUGAGCAGCAACAAAAGUGAC
rnacentral:lncRNA from 1 species